AGAACAAACGCUGGCGGCGUGCCUAACACAUGCAAGUCGUACGAGAAAGGGUCCUUCGGGACCUGAGUAAAGUGGCGCACGGGUGAGUAACGCGUGGAUAAUCUGCCCUUCAGUUGGGAAUAACUCAUCGAAAGGUGGGCUAAUACCGAAUAAUACUGUGAGACCUUGGUCGAUCAGUCAAAGAGAGCCUCUGCUUGCAUGCCCUCGCUGAAGGAUGAGUCCGCGUACCAUUAGCUAGUUGGUAGGGUAAUGGCCUACCAAGGCGACGAUGGUUAGCUGGUCUGAGAGGAUGAUCAGCCACACUGGAACUGAGACACGGUCCAGACUCCUACGGGAGGCAGCAGUGAGGAAUCUUGCGCAAUGGGGGCAACCCUGACGCAGCAACGCCGCGUGAGUGAGGAAGGUCUUCGGAUCGUAAAGCUCUGUCAGAUGGAAAGAACCGCAUAGGGGUGAAUAUCUCCUAUGUCUGACGGUACCAUCAAAGGAAGCACCGGCUAACUCCGUGCCAGCAGCCGCGGUAAUACGGGGGGUGCAAGCGUUGUUCGGAAUUAUUGGGCGUAAAGAGCGUGUAGGCGGCCGGAUGUGUCAGAUGUGAAAGCCCUGGGCUUAACCCAGGAAGUGCAUUUGAAACUGUCCGGCUUGAGUAGGGGAGAGGGGGAGAGAUUUGGAAUCCUGGUGGGUAGAGGUGUAAAAUCUCGUAAGAUUAUCAGGGAGGAACACCGGUGGCGAGGGCGACUUCCUGGCCCUAUACUGACGCUGAGACGCGAGAGCGUGGGUAGCAAACAGGAUUAGAUACCCUGGUAGUCCACGCCGUAAACGAUGUUCACUAGGGGUUGGGGGUAUUGACCCCCCUCAGUGCCGGGAGCUAACGGCAUUAAGUGAACCGGCCUGGGGGAGUACGGUCGCAAGACUAAA
rnacentral:rRNA from 1 species